rnacentral:misc_RNA from 1 species
GUGAGUCAUCGAAUCUUUGAACGCACAUUGCGCCUCCCGUCGCAGGGAGGCAUGCCUGUCUGAGCGUCAUUUAAAACCCUCAUACGGUCCGCACCCGUGGCCGUGCCCUGGGCCGUUCGUCGACCCCGUCGUCGUGGCCUUGAAUCCAUCGGUCUUGGUGAGCGGACGAGAUCCAAUAGGACAUGUGACCGUUUGCCCGACCCUAAAGAAAUCUGAAUUUGACCUCAGAUCAGGUAGGACUACCGCCUGAACUUAAGCAUAUCAAUAAGCGGAGGA